rnacentral:tRNA from 1 species
GAGGGUAUAGCUCAGUAGUAGAGCACAUGCUCAGUAUGCUUGAGGCCCUGGGUUCAAUCCCUAGUACCAUCA